rnacentral:lncRNA from 1 species
UCUCCAUCUCCUGACCUCGUGAUCCGCCCGCCUCGGACUUCCGAAGUGCUGGGAUUAGAGGUGUGAGCCACCGUGCCCAGCUGCCACACCCUGCUAAUUUUUAAUUAUAUGUUUUCCAAUAUGUAAGCUGUCUCUGGGAUUACAGGUGUGAGCCACUGUGCCUGGCCUGGAAGACCAUAUAUUAAAAAAAAUAAAAAUUAGGCCAUGCAUAGUGGCUCCUGCCUGUAACUCCAGCACUCUGGGAGGCUGAGGAGAAAGCAUAGUUUGAGACCAGGAGUUUGAGACCAGCUGGGGCAACAAAGUAAGUCCCCAUUGCUACCAAAAAAAAAAAAAAAAUUAGCCAGGUGUGGUGGCGAGCACCUGUAGUCUCAGCUACCCGAGAGGCUGAGGUGGGAGGAUCACUUAAGCCCAGCAGUUCGAGGCUGCAGUGAGUUAUGAUCAUGCCACUGCACUCCAGCCUGAGCAACAAAGAGAGACCCUGUCUCUAAAAAAAACCAAAAUAAAUAAAUAAAAUAAAAUAUAAACAAAACAGGAUAAGAGCUGGGGUCAUCAGGUGUGACCUGGGAGACCCAUCUCACCUCAGCACGAUCAUCUGGCUCUCAGCCCCCACAGCCACAUCUGCCAAGCCAUCCCCUUCAAGGUCCUUCACCCCAUGGAUGGAGCGUCCAAACCACUGAAUUCCUGAGAGCACUUGGGUCCCUUCUAUCCGCUGAGAGCAAGAAAGAAAUUGCCACUAAGCUGAGGAGAGGCUGGAGUGCAGUGGUGCAAUCGCAGCUCACUACAGCCUCGAACUCCUGG